rnacentral:rRNA from 1 species
AUUGAACGCUGGCGGCAGGCCUAACACAUGCAAGUCGAGCGAGCGGCGGACGGGUGAGUAAUGUCUGGGAAACUGCCUGAUGGAGGGGGAUAACUACUGGAGACGGUAGCUAAUACCGCAUAUCAUCUGAUGUGUCCAGAUGGGGUUGGAUAGGGGGUGGGGUAACGGCCCACCUAGGCGCCGAUCCCUAGCUGGUGUGAGAGGAUGACCAGCAACACUGGAACUGAGACACGGUCCAGACUCCUACGGGAGGCAGCAGUGGGGAAUAUUGCACAAUGGGCGCAAGCCUGAUGCAGCCAGGCCGCGUGUGUGAAGAAGGCCUUCGGGUUGUAAAGCACUUUCAGCGGGGAGGCGUUACCCGCAGAAGAAGCACCGGCUAACUCCGUGCCAGCAGCCGCGGUAAUUC